AUUCCCGUAGCUCAAUUGGUAGAGCGCUGGUCUCCAAAACCAGAGGCUGCAGGUUUGAGUCCUGCCGGGAAUGCCA
rnacentral:tRNA from 1 species